GAUGAACGCAGCGGAAGGCCUAAUACAUGCAAGUCGAGGGGUAACAGGGGAGCUUGCUCCCGCUGACGACCGGCGCACGGGUGAGUAACGCGUACGUAACCUACCUUCAAGAGAGGGAUAGCCCCGGGAAACUGGGAUUAAUACCUCAUGGUAUCAUAAAGCCGCAUGGUUUAAUGAUUAAAGCUCCGGCGCUUGAAGAUGGGCGUGCGUUCUAUUAGAUAGUUGGUGAGGUAACGGCUCACCAAGUCAGCGAUAGAUAGGGGGCGUGAGAGCGUGGUCCCCCACACGGGUACUGAGACACGGACCCGACUCCUACGGGAGGCAGCAGUAAGGAAUAUUGGACAAUGGGCGCAAGCCUGAUCCAGCCAUUCCGCGUGUAGGAUGACGGCCCUCUGGGUUGUAAACUACUUUUAUUUGGGAAGAAACCCUGGGAUUUAUCCCGGGCUGACGGUACCAAAAGAAUAAGCACCGGCUAAUUCCGUG
rnacentral:rRNA from 1 species